rnacentral:rRNA from 1 species
AUUGAACGCUGGCGGUAGGCCUAACACAUGCAAGUCGAGCGAGCGGCGGACGGGUGAGUAAUGCCUAGGAAUCUGCCUGGUAGUGGGGGAUAACGUCCGGAAACGGUAGCUAAUACCGCAUACCAUCAGAUGUGCCCAGAUGGGAUUAGCUAGUAGGUGGGGUAAUGGCUCACCUAGGCGACGAUCCCUAGCUGGUCUGAGAGGAUGACCAGCCACACUGGAACUGAGACACGGUCCAGACUCCUACGGGAGGCAGCAGUGGGGAAUAUUGCACAAUGGGCGCAAGCCUGAUGCAGCCAUGCCGCGUGUGUGAAGAAGGCCUUCGGGUUGUAAAGCACUUUCAGCGAGGAGGCGUUACUCGCAGAAGAAGCACCGGCUAACUCCGUGCCAGCAGCCGCGGUAAUUC